UACGUAGGGGGCAAGCGUUGUCCGGAUUUAUUGGGCGUAAAGAGCGUGUAGGCGGUUUGGUAGGUCCGCUGUGAAAACUCGAGGCUCAACCUCGAGACGCCGGUGGAAACCAUCAGGCUAGAGUCCGGAAGAGGAGAGUGGAAUUCCUGGUGUAGCGGUGAAAUUCGUAGAUAUCGAGAAGAACACCGGUGGCGAAGGCGGCCAUCUGGACGGUGACUGACGCUGAGACGCGAAAGCGUGGGGAGCAAACAGG
rnacentral:rRNA from 1 species